rnacentral:tRNA from 1 species
GGUGACUCAGUGGUAGAGUGCUUGCCUUGCAUGCAUGAGGCCCUGGGUUUGAUUCCCCAGCACCA